rnacentral:sRNA from 1 species
UCCGUAGGUGAACCUGCGGAAGGAUCAUUACAGAAUGAAAGUGCUUAACUGCAUUUUUUUACACAUGUGUUUUUCUUUUUUUUUGAAAACUUUGCUUUGGUGGGCCCAUGGCCUGCCAGAGAUUAAACUCAACCAAAUUUUAUUUAAGUCAACUGAUUAACUAAUAGUCAAAACUUUCAACAACGGAUCUCUUGGUUCUCGCAUCGAUGAAGAACGCAGCGAAAUGCGAUAAGUAAUAUGAAUUGCAGAUAUUCGUGAAUCAUCGAAUCUUUGAACGCACAUUGCGCCCUUUGGUAUUCCAAAGGGCAUGCCUGUUUGAGCGUCAUUUCUCCCUCAAACCUUCGGGUUUGGUGUUGAGCGAUACGCUGGGUUUGCUUGAAAGAAAGGCGGAGUAUAAACUAAUGGAUAGGUUUUUUUCCACUCAUUGGUACAAACUCCAAAAUUCUUCCAAAUUCGACCUCAAAUCAGGUAGGACUACCCGCUGAACUUAAGCAUAUCAAUAAGCGGAGGAAAAGA